rnacentral:rRNA from 1 species
UACGUAGGGACCAAGCGUUGUUCGGAUUUACUGGGCGUAAAGGGCGCGUAGGCGGCGUGACAAGUCACUUGUGAAAUCUCUGAGCUUAACUCAGAACGGCCAAGUGAAACUGUUGUGCUAGAGUGCAGAAGGGGCAAUCGGAAUUCUUGGUGUAGCGGUGAAAUGCGUAGAUAUCAAGAGGAACACCUGAGGUGAGGACGGGUUGCUGGGCUGACACUGACGCUGAUGCGCGAAAGCCAGGGGAGCAAACGGG